rnacentral:rRNA from 1 species
AAAGAAACCCAACAGGGAUGCCCUAGUACGGCGAGUGAAGCGGCAACAGCUCAAAUUUGAAAUCUGGCCCUCGGGUCCGAGUUGUAAUUUGUAGAGGAUGCUUUUGGUGAGGUACCUUCCGAGUUCCCUGGAACGGGACGCCAUAGAGGGUGAGAGCCCCGUCUGGUUGGAUACCGAUCCUCUGUAAAGCUCCUUCGACGAGUCGAGUAGUUUGGGAAUGCUGCUCUAAAUGGGAGGUAUAUGUCUUCUAAAGCUAAAUACCGGCCAGAGACCGAUAGCGCACAAGUAGAGUGAUCGAAAGAUGAAAAGCACUUUGAAAAGAGAGUUAAAAAGUACGUGAAAUUGUUGAAAGGGAAGCGCUUAUGACCAGACUUGGGCUUGGUUGAUCAUCCUGGGUUCUCCCUGGUGCACUCUUCCAGUUCAGGCCAGCAUCAGUUCGCUGCGGGGGAUAAAAGCUUUAGGAAUGUGGCUCCCUCGGGAGUGUUAUAGACUAUUGCAUAAUACCCUGCUCCGGACUGAGGUUCGCGCAUCUGCAAGGAUGCUGGCGUAAUGGUCAUCAGCGACCCGUCUUGAAACACGGACCAAGGAGUCGUCUUCGUAUGCGAGUGUUCGGGUGUUAAACCCCUACGCGUAAUGAAAGUGAACGCAGGUGAGAGCUUCGGCGCAUCAUCGACCGAUCCUGAUGUUCUCGGAUGGAUUUGAGUAAGAGCAUACGGGGCCGGACCCGAAAGAAGGUGAACUAUGCCUGUAUAGGGUGAAGCCAGAGGAAACUCUGGUGGAGGCUCGCAGCGGUUCUGACGUGCAAAUCGAUCGUCAAAUAUGGGCAUGGGGCGAAAGACUAAUCGAACCUUCUAGUAGCUGGUUUCCGCCGAAGUUUCCCUCAGGA